CCAAGGAGUCUUGCAAAUGAAUGCUUUGCAAUGUUGAAUGCAAAAAAGCGAGUGAAGGCAAAAAGUAAUAACCCGCAAGGGGUUAAGAUUGUUACUUCAUAAUAAUUGUAAAUUAUUUGGGGUAAACAAUGGUUAUUUGCAAGGACCCGAAAGAUGGUGAACUAUGCCUGUUCAGAAGGAAUCCAGGUGAAAGCCUGGUGAAAGUUCUUAGCGGUUCUGACGUGCAAAUCGAUCGUCAGAAAUGGGCAUAGGGGCGAAAGACUAAUCGAACCAUC
rnacentral:rRNA from 1 species